UGCAAAGGAAAAUCUUAACAUGGAUCGUUUCGCUGGAGUUGAGAACAUGCUUUUUACCCCCUGUCACCUUAUUAAAAUCUAAAAUUAAAAAAAAAUUCUCUAAAUCCUGGAAGUUUGAUCGGCGUCUGGCCCUGAUUUUAAUCCAAAGGAGCUGCUUUUGGAACUGGUGUGUUCGGCUUUGGUGUUUGCCUGCUGAGGAAGAGGCCUGCUCUUUUCUCCAGUCUUGACAGAGAGCCCUGUAUUCUGCCUGGCAAAAUAAGACUGUGCAGCCCUUCUUCCCCAGAAUUCCAGCAACGAUGCUCUCAAGGGACCUCUCGAAGUGGUGGCUGAAGUUGCAAUGUUGUGAACACGGCGCAGGUUAACUCUGCAAAAAGGCGUUUUCUUGGCCUCUCAGAUAACCUUUUCAACCCACAAGGCUGAAAUAACUUCUCUUAACUGAAAUGACCCCAGCAGAACUAUUCACUAGAAGACAUCCUCCUUGAUUUUUUGUAAGAUGACUGGAGUUGUAGGUAUAAGGUGACCAAAUUUGAAGACAGUAUUCAAAGUGAAGAUGUGCCACUGAUUUAUAUAAUAGCAUUAUAAUAUUUUCCAUAUAAUUCUCUAAAACUCUUUUCUUUGUACAAACCCUGCAAGAUUCUUUUAAUUCUUUGAACUAUAGUGCCUUUUAACAUCUGUAGUUUACUCUGAUCAGAUUUUAACAAAGGAAUAAAAGGCUCCAUUUUUCACAUAGAAUUUUAUUUAUUGUUUGAACUUUAG